rnacentral:rRNA from 1 species
CCUACGGGUGGCAGCAGUGGGGAAUAUUGGACAAUGGGGGCAACCCUGAUCCAGCCAUGCCGCGUGUGUGAAGAAGGCCCUCGGGUUGUAAAGCACUUUCAGUGAGGAAGAACGCCUGGUGGUUAAUACCCAUCAGGAAAGACAUCACUCACAGAAGAAGCACCGGCUAACUCCGUGCCAGCAGCCGCGGUAAUACGGAGGGUGCGGGCGUUAAUCGGAAUUACUGGGCGUAAAGCGCGCGUAGGUGGCUUGAUAAGCCGGUUGUGAAAGCCCCGGGCUCAACCUGGGAACGGCAUCCGGAACUGUCAAGCUAGAGUGCAGGAGAGGAAGGUAGAAUUCCCGGUGUAGCGGUGAAAUGCGUAGAGAUCGGGAGGAAUACCAGUGGCGAAGGCGGCCUUCUGGACUGACACUGACACUGAGGUGCGAAAGCGUGGGUAGCAAACAGGAUUAGAUACCCCAGUAGUC